GAUGAGAACGCAGUAAAAUGCGAUAAUUAAUGUGAAUUGCAGAAUUCAGUGAAUCAUCGAGUCUUUGAACGCACAUUGCGCCCCCUGGUAUUCCGGGGGGCAUGCCUGUCCGAGCGUCAUUGCUGCCCUCAAGCACGGCUUGUGUGUUGGGCUUCCGUCCCUGGCAACGGGGACGGGCCCAAAAGGCAGUGGCGGCACCAUGUCUGGUCCUCGAGCGUAUGGGGCUUUGUCACCCGCUCCCGUAGGUCCAGCUGGCAGCUAGCCUCGCAACCAAUCUUUUUAACCAGGUUGACCUCGGAUCAGGUAGGGAUACCCGCUGAACUUAAGCAUAUCAAUAAGCGGAGGA
rnacentral:misc_RNA from 1 species